rnacentral:lncRNA from 1 species
CUGUUAAAUGGGUACAAUAAAUACAUAUCUCUGAAGGUUGCUGUGAUGAUUACAUGAAAUAAAUACAUGGCACAGUACCUGGUAUGUAAUAAGUACCCAAUUAAAUAUAACUUUUUUUAGGAAGUGACAGUAAUAGGAAGAACUCAGUAUGUUUGUUGAAUGAUUCUUACAUGAUACCUCUUAACACAGGUGAUUACAUGGAUCCAACACCUGAUCCCCAAGAUUGAAGAUGGAAAUGAUUUUGGGGUAGCAAUCCAGGAGAAGGUGCUGGAGAGGGUGAAUGCCGUCAAGACCAAAGUGGAAGCUUUCCAGACAACCAUUUCCAAGUGAGGGCAGCUGGAGGACCAGCAUUGGGGGCAGUAGGAGCAUUUCUUUGGGACCCCCAGAGCUGGGCAGCCCUAUCAGGAUGAUGGGAGACUUUGGGAAGGGUCUGAGGGAGUACAUCUCCCUGAACACUCAUUCCUGUGGUAUUCCCUUGCUUCUG